rnacentral:tRNA from 1 species
GGCCUGAUGGUCUAGUAGUAUGAUUCCUUGUUAGGGUUCCUUUGGUGCCAUAUCGAGGAGGUCCCGGGUUCAAUUCCCGGUCAGGCCC